UGCAGUCGAACGAAGUAGCAAUACUUAGUGGCAGACGGGUGAGUAACAUGUGGGUAUCUUCCCUUUGGCCUGGAAUAACACGAGGAAACUUGUGCUAAUACCGGAUAAGCCUUUACGGAGAAAGCUUUAUGCACCAUUGGAUGAGCCCGCACUUGAUUAGUUUGUUGGUAGGGUAAUGGCAUACCAAGACUGUGAUCAAUAGCUGAUUUGAGAGGAUGAUCAGCCACAUUGGGACUGAGACACGGCCCAAACUCCUACGGGAGGCAGCAGUGGGGAAUCUUGCACAAUGGAGGAAACUCUGAUGCAGCGAUGCCGCGUGAGUGAAGAAGGCCCUUGGGUUGUAAAGCUCUUUCGUCGGGGAAGAAAAUGACUGUACCCGAAUAAGAAGGUCCGGCUAACUUCGUGCCAGCAGCCGCGGUAAUACGAAGGGACCUAGCGUAGUUCGGAAUUACUGGGCUUAAAGAGUUCGUAGGUGGUUGAAAAAGUUGGUGGUGAAAUCCCAGAGCUUAACUCUGGAACUGCCAUCAAAACUUUUCAGCUAGAGUUUGAUAGAGGAAAGCAGAAUUUCUAGUGUAGAGGUGAAAUUCGUAGAUAUUAGAAAGAAUACCAAUUGCGAAGGCAGCUUUCUGGAUCAUUACUGACACUGAGGAACGAAAGCAUGGGUAGCGAAGAGGAUUAGAUACCCUCGUAGUCCAUGCCGUAAACGAUGUGUGUUAGACGUUGGAAAUUUAUUUUCAGUGUCGCAGCGAAAGCGAUAAACACACCGCCUGGGGAGUACGACCGCGAGGUUAAAACUCAAAUGAAUUGACGG
rnacentral:rRNA from 1 species